GCCUCUUGAGUGUUGGAAUUACAGUCAUGAACCAUCACACCUGGCUUCACCUUGUUUUAGUACUCAAACCAUGCCUGGCUUACUCCCCAGCAACCAAUCCAAGAGAGGAAGGCAGGAACCACAGGUCUCUAUGGCCUCACCUAAUAUGUCACACGCCACUACUUCCGCAUUAUUAAUUAUUAUUAAGUUAACGAAAAAACAAUAAUAGAAACUGUGAGACUAUAAUCUUCAGGUAAGGGAAUUAGUUUCAAUAAAUUGCUAGAAAGCAGGCAAACUGGUAAGAGCCAGGGCAAAUUAAGUAGUUCUCUUAGAAGACACCGUUCUCUUAGAGGACACGAUACACUGUCUUGGAGGAGAGUGAAUUUAAGGCUAAGGAGAUUUACUCUUAUCCUGAAGUCAGAAUGGAAAGAUUUAACUCCGCAGCAUGCAAGCUAGACUGUGGGGGAAGGGGAGCAAACCUAAGAACAGAGAAGUCAGACUGCCCUAUGGUCAGGAAGAUCCAGGGUUGAGUCAGACGGUUCAGCUCCUACAGAGAUGAGUACAAUUGACUACUGCAGUCACUUUGAAGUGAAGUCACGGUGGACACUAUCAAGACAACCGAGGGUAGGGUGGCCUGGAACAGGGUUCUUUUGUUUUUGUUUUUUUGGAGAUACAGUAUCUUGCAUAUCAGGCUGGCCUCGAAAUUCCUACUGAGGAUGACCUUGAACUCCUGAUCCUUCUGUUGAUAAAUUUGAAGGUGACUCGGCCGGGGCCCGCCGCCCAGCAGAGUUGUGUUUUUCCUGAUCGGGGCUCGGGCCGCCCCUCCUCCGGGACCCUCCCCUCGGGAACCGUCGCCCGCGGCGGUUAGUUAGGACUGGAUUGCUUGGCGCG
rnacentral:sRNA from 1 species